UGUACCUGCCUUCGCCUGUGUGACAUCCUACACAACAGACUUUCCAAAGAGCCUCUAAGUUUCCACUUCAACCCACAACCUACCAUUCUCUGAAAAAGAGUUUAAACACAAAACCAAAAAUCACCCCUGGACUAGAUAUGGGGAAUGACACAACACAAUACAGCCUGUAAAAACCAGAUUCUUCCUUAGAUUCAACACUGACCGAGCAAACUUUAAGCAAUUUUCACCAAGUUCACAUGCUGAAAAGAUUCCCUUUGUUACCGUCUCAUAUUUAACCAGAAUCUGAGCACAUCUUGGUGGCCACGGUGUCUUUAUUGAUACUCAUAAGCUCAACGCAGACAGUGUUUGUCUUCUGAGAAUCCGUGGAUGGUUUAGGACUCAUAAGUGUGUCUGUGUGACAGAGUCUGGCCCUCAGGGUCAUGGACUAAUAUUGCUUAAAAACCAACAGUAGAGGCUUUGAAGAAGUCAUCCAGGGUUAGGAACUUGGGGUAGUGGGCAGAGUUUAUUUGAGCAAUUCAUGGAAAUUGAAUAAAGCAAAUAUAGAUAACUAUCGGUUCAAAGGAUAAAUUCAAAAGUAAGUUAGAAAAUGUUGCAAGACAAUGGGAUGAGAACAGGACAUUACAGUUCACUGGGUGAAAAAGCAAUGUCAGAGUUUAGAACAGUAGAUUCCCGCUGUACAACUACCUCAAGUCGCAGCCAAAUUCUACACCUCCAGAAACUACCGAAAAAGGACAAACUCAACUCAAAAUGAUGUAAUAUAAUUUACAUUACAGAAGGAGGAAGUAAAGAUUAGAGCCCCUCUCUUUCAUUCUAUAAGUUCUCUCCCUUUGGAGAACCCUGAAUAAUACAGAUUUUAGUACCAGAAGAGGUUCUAGCACAACAGUAGGUCUGCAAGUGCUGUCCUUGACCUGUCCAGCUCAGUGCUCAGUCCUAUCCCCAGCUCUUUUACAAGACUCCCCGAGCUCGGCCUGAUGUUUCACUGUGGGUGUCUGCAUCUGUUUCCAUUCAGUGCUGGAUGAAGCCUCUCAGCGGACAGCUAUGCCAGGCUGCUGUCUCCAGGCAUAGCAGAGUAUCACUAAGACCGUCAGAGUUGACUCUCCAAUGGAAUGGAUCUCAAGGUGGGCAGUCAUUGGUCGGCCAUUCCCUCAAACUCUGCUCCAUCUUUGUCCCUGAACAUCAUGGAGGCAGGACAAAUUUUGGUUUGAAGGUUUUGCAGCUGGAUUAAUGUCUCCCUCCCUCCACUGGAAGUCCUGCCUGGCUGUAGGAGAUGGCCACUUCAAUCUCCAUAUUCCCUGCUAGUAGGCGUCUAAGGCUGGUGCCUUUGUUGCUCGGGGUCCCUGUAUCAUGAAUGAGGUGUUCCUGCAAUAAAGGGUGUUGAGAAGAAUCCAACGGUGUUGCGUCUUCCAUGCUGGACGAGGUGGGCGUUGCAACUGGUGGCCUUUACUGGGACCCGAGGACAUCCUCGUGGAUUCACAACUCUUCAACCUCAGGACGGCGACGUCGGUAAGUUUCCAGAUGGGAUAAUAAAGCUCCUGGAUAAGUGACAAUAAAGCUCCUGGAUAAGGGACAAUAAAGCUCCUGGGUGAGGGAAUAUAAAGCUCCUGGACAAGGGACUAUAAAGUUCCCUAUUAGGGACAGUAAAGUUCUCUGGACUAAGCAGAGGCGAUGGAAGCCUUGGUUUAGAGGCAAAAAGGUUUGUGGAGCACAGCAAUGUUGUUUUCCCCAAUUGAUGCUCUGUGGGUUGGACUAGCACUUUUGCCUUUUACCCUUUUUGUGUGGUGGUGUUGUUACUGUUUGAAUUGCCACCUUCCCGGGCAUGAGUGCAUUUGCUGGGAAGAGCCCACUAAUGAUGAGCUACAAUCGUGUGUAAAUAAACACGUCAGCCCGCCCUGCUCAUAAAUGGAUCGUAAAUAAGCUCGUAAAGCAUGGGAAACUCACACUGCACCCCGCUCCCGUUUGCUCUUCAGGAGCUUCUUGGUCAGCGUAAACUUAAAAUUGAAAGGAAAUUUAAUUUUAUGGACCCCGCUGUAGUGGCGGUGUGUUGGUUGAUAGCCAACAUUAUUUUUUGAAACAUAGUGUUUUACCUGUGCUUCUGCUCGAAACCCACACAGUAGGGGGGAGCGAAACUAGCUGUGGAGCUUCUGUAGUGAGCAUGGGGACUUCUCAGUCUCACUCAAUUUUUCUGACUAUUCAAGAGCUGUUUGAAAGAAAAAGGUUAGGAUGAAAAGAAGCACUCUAGAGAGAUUUCUUAGUGAAUGCGAUGCCAUUGCACCUUGGUUCUCUGUCUCUGGGAAUCUCACGGUGGGCAGCUGAGAUCAGAAAUGCUGUCAGCAGGCUAUAAAAAAGGGACGGGCUGUGUUAGAAAUGCUAAGGAGGAAUGAUCUGAAAAGGCUGAGAACGAGGCGGGGGAGGACUCUAAGGAAAACAAGAACAAGAAAAGAAUUUAUCCAUACCUCAAGUAACAGGGUAAGAGAAAAAAAAUUCCAGUUCCUGCCUUUAGUGGCCUGACCUUCAACGCUUGCUCACAGAAGGAGAGCGUUCAUGAAGAGAAGUUCUUUAAGGGAGCCUGCCUUAUCUGCUGGCCUUAUUCCAAGAGAGGAGUUGAUCUCCAACAUUAAGUUACUUUUCCCAUUGGUCAUCAUUAACAUGGAGAGUGCCUUUGGUCCUAUCCCCUCAGCAGCCAGUUCCUGCCCCUAUGGUCAAAAUGCCCCAGGUUUGGGGACAGGGGAGUCCCUGAAAUAGUUUCAGAAAGAGUCCGCAGAAGACUGUGAGUAACUUUGUUUUCCCAGACAGAACAGGCUUUACUCUAUGAUGAUGAGAGGAGAAAGUCUUGGCACCGGCUCUUCAACUUACUCCAACUGGAGGCUGUGGCCAAGGUCAAGAUUAAUGUUUUCUUUUCCAUGGGCCUUUAGCCCACUGAGACAGUUUGAUAAAGGGCUGCUACUGAUGUCCUGAAAGUCCCAGGUGAACUGGUUACAAUUCUUUUGUCAGCCACUUGAUGAAAAGAUCAUUUAAAAACAUUAAAUGACUUUCAGAAAUUACUAGGAAGCAUAAAUUGGAUUCGACCCUAUAUUAAAAUGCCCAAUGUAGAGUUACAACCACUCUAUGAGAUCCUGAAAGGGGAUUCUCAGCUUACUUCACCCCGUGCUUUAACCAAGGGAGCACGAUUAUCCUUAAGGAAAGUAGAAGAAAGACUGGAAAAGGCAAUGCUAAGAAGGUGCAAGGAAAAGGAAGAUCUCCUUUAGUGUAUACUGAGAAUUUUUCAUCAGCCUACAGGAGUGCUAUGGUAACAAGGACCGCUUCUUUGGAUUUAUCCCCAUAUUUCUCUUAAUAAGACCCUUGAAUAUUACCCUUCUGCUGUUGCACAGCUUGCUAUGUUAGGUGCAAAAUCUUGCAUUCAGAAUUUUGGUAUUGUACCCAAGAAAAUUAUUAUACCUUAUACUACAGCUCAGAUGGAAACAUUGUGUGCCCUGAUAGAUGAUUGGGCCAUAUUAUGCUGUAGUUUUGAUGGAGAGUUUGACAAUCAUUAUCCUAAGGAUCCUUUGUUACAAUUUUUUUCUGAACAUCCAGUGAUUUUUCCUAAGAUCACUGCCUCAGAGCCUUUGUCUGGAGCAUUAGAUAUUUAUACAGAUGGCUCCAAAACAGGUGUAGAUGCCUAUAUGGUUGAUUCUCAAGAAGGAGUAUUAAUUCAAUACAGUCCAGGCACCUGCCAAAUUAUAGAAUGUAAUAUUGUAUUGGAAGUUCUUAAAAGAUUUCAUGAUUCCUUUAAUUUAAUUUCUGAUUCUGCUUAUGUAGUUAAUGCUGUGCGCUCACUUGAAAUUGCAGGGCCAAUUAGGUCGACUAGUACUGUAUGUCAAAUUCUUUCAGAAUUACAAAAAUUGAUUUGUGCCAAUAAAAUACAUUUUUCAGACAACAUAUUCGAGCUCAUACUAAUUUGCCUGGUCCCAUUGCCAGCAAUAACGCCCUGGUGGAUGCCAGUACUUGUAGAGAGUUUAUUUUUCAUGCAGCUCCGGUUGAUCUCGCUAGAGAUUUUCAUCAAAAGUUUCAUGUUCCUGCCUUCACUCUUCAACAAAAAUUUAAAAUCUCUAGAGCUGCAGCUCAUGCUGUGAUAUUUCGUUGCCAGAAUUUUGUUCAAUUUCACACCCUCCUCAGGUGGGAAUUAACCCUCGUGGUCUGAUUCUGCUAAAAAUUUGGCAGAUGGAUGUCACACACAUAUCUCAAUUUGGAAAUUUAAAAUAUGCUCAUGUUUCUGUUGAUACCUGUUCCGCGGUAUUAUACAUGCCACUCUGAUGACUGGUGAAAAAGCUCGUAAUGCCAUUAGUCGUUGCUUAGAGGCGUAGGCAGCCUGGGGAAAGCCUGAUAGUCUCAAGACAGACAAUGAGCCUGCCUACACUGCAAAGUCCUUUCAGGCAUUUUGCCAGACAAUGCAGGUCACGCAUACUACUGGAUUACCCUACAAUCCCCAGGGUCAAGGAAUUGUGGAAAGAGCACAGCCUACCUUAAAAGAGCUUAUACAAAAACAAAAAGGGGGAAUUGCCUAUGGCAAAACACCAAGAGAACAGUUGUCAUUAGCGCUUUUUACUUUGAACUUUUUAAUCUUGGACGGACAUGGCUGUACUACACUUAUGAGUAAUGCAGAAGUAAAGUGGAAGGAUGCCUUAACUGAUGAAUGGCGUGGCCCAGAUCCCGUGAUUUCGAGAUCUAGGGGAGCUGUUUGUGUUUUUCCACAGAAUCAAGACAAUCCAAUUUGUGUGCCUGAGCGUUUGACUUGCAAACUGCCUCCUGCUACUCCUGACAAUGGAACUAUGCACUCUAUUAUUGCUGGGAAUGGUAAUCCAGGUUGAUUCACUCACUCUGUGGGCUAUUGCCAGAUCCUGGCCAGUACUUAUGCCAGUUCAUAGCAAUUCUACUGUUUUGCCAACCUUCUUCUCCACCUCCUGUUUGCGUGAUGUUCCUUGUAUAGUGCCUAAUGGAGAAUUGUCCCAACGGUAUACUGCCACUAAUCUUUCUUUGUUGCAUACAUUAUGUUUCACUCUUAAAAAUUCCUCCCAGCCUUGUAUAUGGCUGCGAAGGACAAAAUUGGCUAAUUGGUUGGAUCCUAUGAGCAAUAGUGCUAUGGGCACUGGGACCAUCCUGGCUGAUUUGAAUCAAGUUACCCAAGGAGCCUCUUCAGGCCGUGGAGACACAUCAAUCAAUAAUUCUGCUGAGUUGAACAUUACAACUUUGAUUAUGAUGCAUAAUUGUAGUUUUCCAUCACGCCUGGGGCAAGGAAAUCACACACUGGAUAAGUCUACCUGUCGUAGAGUCCUACCUACUUGCUCCCAUAUCAAACGUUUCCACCUAAUUUUUCCCCAUGUCAGAAUCCAUUCCAUAGAGCAAAACAAUUCCUAUGGCGACUUGAAUUUUCCCCUCCUCUUGGCAAUGUACAGUAUGAUCGGGGGGAAAAUAAGUCUGGCAAGCCUUAUUUUGGCCUUGGUAUCAAUGGGUAUUAUCAAAUGAGCAGGGAGCAUACACAUCUCUAAUUCCUUUUGCCCAAUUAUUAGGUGAAGACUUUACAUUGUAUAAUAUUUCAGUCACUAGAACAAAUAACAAAACCAGUUUAGUAAAUGUAAAGAUUAAUGGCCUUUAUCAAAUGAUACUGCCGUUGGAGCUUCAGUAUGUGUUAGACCACAUUUCUUCUUUCUGAUAAGCACUAAUGUAAGUGAUGAUGCUAUAAAAUGUAACAACUCUGAUGUAGUCUGCUAUUUAACUGAAUACUGGGAUGGCACCAAUGAUACUGCAGUGAUGGUCAAGAUUCCCUCCUUUGUGCCAAUCCCAGUAGAGGCCAACCCAGAUAGUUUUCCCACACUUCAUUUACUAAGAAGCAAAGGGGAUUUUGGUAUUAUGGCAGCUAUAACUUCAGACAUUGUACUAUCAGCCGCUGCAGCAACACCAGCCGCGAUUGCUAUGACUAAUCAAGUACAGACGGCUGAGACUAUCAUUCAAAUUGUGGAAAGAACAGCAGAGGCAUUAGAGAUACAAGAACAAUUUAAUGCCCACUUGACAUCUGCCUUUCUAUUAGCUAAUCAAUGAAUGGAUUUAAUUCAAGAACAAAUUGAAGCAAUAUAUCAUAUGACACAGCUGUCCUGCAUUUCCUCCCUUAGAGGUUUAUGCAUUACUUCUUUGCAAGUUAAUUUUUCUCAGUAUUCUCAAGAGAGCAAAGAAAUCUCGAAUUAUCUGAAAGGAAACUGGUCCAUGAAAGUGGAGCAACUAUCGAGACAAUUGCUGAUGCAGAUUGCUGUCGUUAACAACACUAGAUUGAAUCCUAUCACGUUUGGAGAUUUGACCUCAUGGAUUACCGAUGCUUCCUCCUUUUUUAAAGAAUGGGCUGGCAUGUUUGCCUGGGGGGCCAUUGAUCUUUUGGGAUGUGGAGUAUGUCUAUAGCUCUUCUGCCAUUUAAAACAAGAGCAUGCCAGACACAAAGCGAUUGUUUACAAGGCUAUGGUCGCCAUUGCAAGUCGUGCUUCUCCCAACACAUGCCUGGCCUCUUUGAAAAAUUAAGAGUUCUCCCUAGAUCCUAUUUUGUCACUGUCAUGUGAACUCAUUGUAUCCAGAGACGGGCAACUUUCCUUGGGCUCAGACCAACCUAAGACAGGGUCCCGGUGGCAAUAGGGUAACACAGUGACAGGAAUAGCCAAGCUGCCGAGAGGAACGACCUAAGACAGGAGCAAUGACAAUAUUGACGUGACACCCUGAUCUAGACCAGUCAUAGACAGAGGUGGCUACACCCCGUUUGAACAUACGGGCUGGUCAAAUGGUCCUCUGCCCAAUUUCUCCCCAAUAAAAAGGCACAUAUAGCCAAGAACGGUGUGUUACAGCAUAAGUUCAUUUAUUGCCAUUGGGGUACAAGAGUGGCCUGCCAUAGCCGAGUUGGGCACUCUGUGAGACAUGUCUGAACUCUCUCAGACCACUACCUCCAUCUAAUGGCUUCUUUUUUUUUAUAAUACAAAAAAGGAGGAGUUGUAGGGGCGGCACAUAUAGAUAAAAGAUGGCGCUGACAUCUGGUGGUAAUUUGUGGUUAACACCCACAAAGCACAUGUCCUGGCAUUUCUCCAGCAAGCUAUCAGGCUGGAGUGAUAUUCAUGCUAAUGAGGUAUUUCAUGAUCCACCAAUCCCUAGAGGACAAGUAUAUAGCCAUAGCCUGUUUUGUAUAUAAGGCUGGUGCCUUUGUUGCUUGGGGUUCCCGUACCAAGAAUGAGGUGUUCCUGCAAUAAAGGGUGUUGAGAAUAAUCCAACAGUGUUGCAUCUUCCUUGCUGGAUGAGGUGGGCAUUGCACUAGAUCUUUCUGAGUCUUAGCUAACACUAUGGAAAGAUGAAAAUAAAUAGUACAUACUAGAGAGUUGAUGCGAAGUGGAAAUAAACCUAUCGCGGACUUGCCUCCUUCUUGAAUUCUUUAAUUCCCCACAUCAAACACUAUUUUAUGUUUCUAGUUCCAGGGUAAAUACAAUUUAUAUGGAUACAAAAUAUGUUCCCAUUUAUAACUGUGUGUCUUUGUAAGCAGACUCUUGACAUCAUUUCUACUUGGACCUCCAUCAGCAAAUAUGACUUUGAACAAUACCUUUGUUUUUCUUUAAUGAUGAGAUUAUGUCCAGUCAUUUAAAGUCCAAUGUUCUCUGAGGUAAACAGCUGAAGCAGUUCACCUUACUAAGUUAGCAGUUUGCAUUCUGAGGUCAAGCUUUUGGGGUGGGAAGCAGCUCCUUUUAUAGUGUCAGGUACUAUAUAUGGCUGUUGCUAGGCAACUGUGGGGCAGAACAUACCUGGCUGCUGCCAAGUAGCUGUGUGGUGGAGCUUAGACAGAAUAGCAACAAGUGCUAGGAAUGAUGCUUGUGCCAUUGCCUCCAAAAGCGAAGGUGUGCUUAGUUGAGGUUCAUGGGCAUCCUUAUUUUGAAACAUCAGAAGCCAUAUAACAAGUGCACUAGAGGUUACUCAUGAAGGAAAGAAAAAACAAAACACCAAAACAAACAAAAACCAACUCUACAUGAGAAACAAUAAAGAUAACUCCUCUGCCUAGUGUUUUGAAACCUGACGCCCGUAUCCCUGUGUACAGGUGGACGUGAAGGCAUCUAUGUGCCGUUGACUGAUCCACACAGAUGCUGGAUGCAUGAGAGUCGGUGUGAUGCUGGUUUCAACCUUCGUGAUGUAGGCGCCUCUUGCUUCUGUCUUCCUUUUCUUCUUCUUUCUUCAUUACUCAUAAUUUUCUGUGUUUUCUGUUGCAAAUAGUUUUAUAAGUUAUCUCAGGACUUCUCCCACUGACAUUAACUGAACCGAACCAUAUAUAACCACCAUUUACAGGUCAGAAACUGAAUUGUGCUGGCGGUUCAUACAGUUCACCUGAACAGUGGAUGCUUCCGUGGACGUUAGUUCUUUUUUAACUGAAGCAUGAUUAGUGGUUUUAAAAUUCAGAAUGUAAAAAUAUUUUGGCCACGGAUGUGAAAAACUUAAGACUGGAUACCUGAAGAAGUGCUUAGGGCUGGGAGUCACCUCGGUAGUUGAUACUGUCUCGAGACAUGCUUCCAGAGGGCAGGAUGGACAGAAGUUCCCAGCAGCCCCAUCGAACAACUCACAACCACCUGUAGGCCAAGUGCCCUUGUCAGGCCUCGGCAUGCACUUGCGUGCCUGCGCGCAUGCACGCGCGCGCGCGCGCGCACACACACACACACUCAUUAAAAUUAAUAUAAAUGGAAAUAUAACAAGAAAUGUCAAAAAUAGGCUUAUUAUAUGUGUCUAUGAAGAUGAUAUGGCAAUGAUUGGCUUUAUCCCUCUUAAUUUAUUUGAUACAUAGCAAUUCAGAAGUAAUUUCAUUGUAAGCCUGAGAACUGGUUUUCUGAAGAGGUGAUCGCUUUGGUUUUAUUUAGAUGCAAAGGAACUGUAAAUAGUUAUCAAAUGACUACAAAAAACGGACCUACAUGUGAUAGAAAUUAAAAAAAAGAAAAGAAAAGAAAGUCCAGUCUUAAAUACAGUAUAAAUCUAGUGUCAGAAAUUUAUUUAUAAAUAAUAAAAUAACUAUAAGUGUUAGAGUGCAGAGAAGUACCAAUCUCUGUGACAUUCCGUGUUAAUUGGUUGUGGCACUCAGCUUAGUAGCAUACAGUUUCAUCCAUCCACUAUGCAAUAGGGUAUUAAUGAGAUAUAUAAAAAUAUGGAGGAGCCAGUCAAAUACUACUGACAAACCAAAUAAGGACUGAAACUCUGGAGAUAAUAGGACGGACCCGAUAACCAAACCACGGCCUCUGUAAUUACGCAUGUGUAGUUCUGUUAAGCUCAUCUACAGACUAAAGUGUAAGAAUCUUAACCACAGGAAGAAAUUGAUGCUGGGGGCUCACAGAGCAAGUGCAGCAAUGUGUGUAGGGUUGCUCCCUACUGGCCAACCUCAGUGUUACGCUGUACCUACAGCCACAUUGCUGAGGCUUCCUUUGUGCAUGUUAGGUCUCUGUUAGGUUUCUGCUAAUAAUUUACAACCAGUAGCUGGAGAGUUGGAGCACAAAACUUGUACUCUUAAUCGUCCUUUUUAAGAGUAGAAAAGUCGAGGCUGGAGAGAUAGCUCAGUGGGUAAGACCGCUCAGUGUCCUCACAGAGGACCUGAGUUCAGUUUCCGGCAUACACAGGAUAGCUCGCAACCAUCUAUACCUUCAGUUUCAAAAGAUAUGAAACCUUAUUCUGACCUCUUCAGGCACGAGUGGUAUAUGUGGUGAACAGAUAUACAUGCAGCCAAAACACUUAUACACAUAAAAUAAAACUAAAAAAAGUUCUAACUAGACAAGUCAGGACUGGAGAGCUUUGUCACCGGUUAAAAGCAUAGGGCUGUUCUUCCAGAGGACUUAGGUUUGGUUCAUGGCACCCACAUGGUGGUUCACAACCAUCUGUGACUCCAGCUCCAAAGGAUCCAUUUUUAAUCUACAUUAAAAUAUUAAUCUCAUCUUUCAUUACAAAUGUUUCAGGCUAAUGUUUCAACUAAAAGCCUUGGUUACUAGUCUUCUAACCUCAAAGUUACAUUCUGUUCUUUUGUUUUUUGGGUGCUGAGGAUUGAAUGAGGGUGUCAUGGUUACAAAGUCACCAUUCACCACCAGCGGCCUAUACCCCUAAUUCUGAAGUUAGAUUCUUUUACCGGAGUUACUUUAGAUAGUCUUAGGUUUUUCUCCAUAAGAAACUAUUCUUGGUCCUUUUUUGUGAGUUUGUCUUAGCACUUUUUUUCUGUUCCAGUCUUUUUGUGAAUGCUUUCAUUACUUCUUACCCAAUACAAAUCAAAUGUAAGUGUCUUCGUGGUAUUGUAUUAAGUGGGGUUCCCUAGAGGAAUAAAAGUUACAGUGUGUGUCUGUGUGUGUGUGUGUGUGUGUGUGUGUGUAUGUGUGUGUGAUUAGUUUAUUAGAAUGGUCUACAGACUCUAGUUCACGUAAUCUAUUAACAUAAAUUUCAAGAAUUCAGGAGUUGUUUAGUCAACAAGGUUGGAUGUCGUAGCUGUUUUUCAGUGUAUGUCAGAAUUCCAAAGUAGGCCCUAACACUCAUGAAGGAGUGGACCUGCUAGCCAGGGUAAGAGGAGGCUCUAGGGAGGGAUCUUCCUUCUUCCACAUCUUCUAUGUAAGCUGUCAGCAGAGGGGGUGACCCAGGUUCAAGGUGGAUCUUCCGUCCUCAAAAAAAUCCAGAUGAAAAGUGUGUCUUUCCAUCUUCAAUUGACUUAGCCACUCUCUCACUCAUACAUUGGCUAAGGUUUAGUUAAUUCCAGAUGUCCUUGACAACCAAGAACAGCCAUUACAAGCCCACCCCUGAUCAAUGUGACACACAGUCAGAUCUCUUUGUCAUGCUUAAUUUUCAGGUGGAAGUAACACCCAGGUCAUAACUAUGCCUGUGUAACUACCCCAUGUACAGCCUCAAAGGCGUUAUGUGUUUAACAGAGUCAUAAUUGUACACAGCGUGAUGUAAGUAUCCCUCAUACAACCAUAAGUGCAUUAUAAAUUUUAUGAUGUUCCUUCAAGGGACAUUCCUUUGAUAUCUCAAAAUUUAAAUAUGACAACCACUGAUAUUCUCUUAAUCAUUCUGAUACUCCAUGACAAAGAAAUAAAACAUGAAAAUCUGUACAAACACAUUCUUAACAAAAUACUGCCCUGAGCUGCGUACUGCCCACCCCCGGACCCCCAGCUCCAUUGUCCAGCCACUGGAAAUAAAGAAAUGAAUUAAGCACUUUCUAGAAUUCAAUGAUACCUAAACCACACAAAGACUCAAUAAAUAAAGAGAACUUCAGACCAAUUUCCGCUAUGAACAUUGAUGCCAAUAUUCUCGAUAAAAUGCUUGCAAACUGAAUCCAGGAACACAUCAAAAAUAUUAUUCGCCAUGAUCAUGUAGGCUUCAUCCCAGGGAUACAGGGAUGGUUCAAUGUACAGAAAUCUAUCAAUGAAAUCCACUGUACAUACAAACUAAAAGAAAAAUAUCACAUGACCAUUUCACUAGAUGCAGAAAAAGUCUUUGACAUGAUCCAACACUCCUUCAUAGUAAAUGUCUUGGAGAGAUCUGAGAUAUAAGGUGCAUUUCUAAACACAAUAAAAACAAUAUACAGCAAGCCAAAAGCCAACAUCAAAAAAAUAAAGAAAAAUAUAAAGCAGUUCCCCUAAAAUCAGGGAUAAGACAAGGCUGCCCAUUUUCUCUCUAUCAAUUUAACAUAGUGCUUGGAGGAAGUUCUCGGUAGAGUAGAAGACAACUAAAGGAGAUCAAAGGGGAACAAAUUGGAAAGGAAGAAGUCAAGAUAUCACUAUUCACAGAUGAUGAGAUAGUAAACGUAUGUGACUCCCAAAAUUCUACCAGCUGAUAAGCAACUUCAGCAAAGUAGCUGGAUACAAAAUUAACUCAGAAUAAAUCAGUAGCCCUCCUUUAUAAAACAAUAAACAGGCCGAGAAAGAAAUUAGGGAAGCAGCAACCUUUACAAUAGCCAUGAGUAAUGCAAACUAUGGUGGUAUAAUUCUAACCAAGCAAGUGAAAGAUCUGUAUGACAAGAACUUCAAGUCCCUGAAUAAAGAAAUCAAGGCAGUUAUCAGGAGAUUGAAAUAACUCCCAUGCUCAUGGGUCAGUAGGAUUGACACAGCAAAAAUGGCCAGAUAGCCCAAAGCAGUCUAUGAGUUCAGGGCAACUCCCAUCAUAAUUCCAACACAAUUCAUUACAGACCUUUACAGAGCAGUUCUCAAUCUCAAAUAGAAAAGCAAAAACCCAGGGUAACCAAAGCAAUCCUGAACAAUAAAAGAAUCUCUGGAGGAAUCACCAUCCUGAUUUCAAGCUGCACUACAGAGCCAAUAGUAAUAAAAACUACACUGUGUUGUUACAGAGACAGGUUGAUGAAUGGAAUAAAAUCAAAGGUCUGGAAAUCAUACACACGCACACACACACACACACACACACACACACACACACACACACCCAUGGAAACCUUAUUUUUGAUAAAGAAGCCAAAUCAUACGAUGGAAAAAAGAAGCAUCUUCAAUCAAAUGGUGCUGGCUUAACUAAAUGAAUGUCUGCAUGGAGAAGACUGCAAAUAGAGCCAUAUCUAUCACCCUGCACAAAACCAAGUCCAAGUGGAUCAAUGACCUCAACAUAAAACCGGACGCACUGAACCUAAUAGAAGAGAAAUUGGGGGAACUUCCUUGAACACAUUGGCACAUGAGACGAAUGCCCAAAGAACACCAAUAACUCUGGGCUACAAAGCUAAACAGAGAAUUCUCAACAGAGGAAUCUUGAAUGGCUGAGAAGCACUUAAAGGAAUUUUCAGUGUCCUCAGUCCUCAGGAAAUGCAAAACAAAAUGACUCCGAGAUUCCUUCUUAUACCAAUCAGAAUGGCUAUAAUAAAAAACUGAGGUGACAGCACAUGCUGGUGAAGAUGUGGGGAAAGGGAAUAUUCACUCAUUGCUGGUGGGAGUGCAAACUUCGACAACCACUUUGGAAAUCAAUUUGGCAGUUUAUCAGAAAAUUGGAAAUGAACCUGAAGUCUCAGCUAUAUGUCCCAAACAUACCCCACUCUACCACAAAGACGCUUGCUCAACUGUGUUCAUAGCAGCUUUAUUUGUAGUAGCCAGGAAUUGGGAAUAGCUCAGAUGUUCCUCAACUGAUGAAUGGAAAAAAGAAAAUGUGGUACAUCUACACAAUGAAAUACUAUUCAGCUAUUAAAAACAAAGACAUCUUGAAAUUUGCGGGCAAAUGGAUGGAACUAGAAAAUAUCGUCCUGAGUGAGGUGAUUCAGAUCCAGAAAGAUAUGCAUGGUAUCUAGUCACUUAUAAGUAGACAUUAGCCAUAAAGUGCAGGAUAACCAUACUACAAUCCACAGACUCAAAGAUAAUUAGGAGGGCCCAAGGGAGGUUUCAUGAAUCUCACUCAGAAGCAAACAAAAUAGUCAUCAAAGGGAGAUAGGUGGGAGAGGGGUGAGGAGGGGAAUGUGACAGGGAUCAGGUGUGGGGAGAGGGUGCUGGAGAGGUCUGGGUGUGAGAACAGAAACUGGUGGGGGGCAAUUCUGGAAAUAGCUGGAGAUCUAGGAUAAGGGAGGCUCUGGGGAGUCUAUAGGGAUGACCUACCUUAGACACCUACUAGCAGGGAAUAUGGAGAUAGAAGUGGCCAUCUCCUACAGCCAGGCAGGACUUCCAGUGGAGGGAGGGAGACAUUAAUCCAGCUACUAAACCUAAAACCCAAAAUUUGUCCUGCCUCCAUGAUGUUCAGGGACAAAGAUGGAGCAGAGUUUGAGGGAAUGCCCGACCAAUGACUGCCCACCUUGAGAUCCAUUCCAUUUGAGAGUCAACCCCUGACAGUCUUAGUGAUACUCUGCUAUGCCUGGAGACAGAAGCCUGGCAUAGCUGUCCCCUGAGAGGUUUCAUCCAGCACUGAAUGGAAACAGAUGCAGACACCCACAGUCAAACAUCAGGCCGAGCUCGGGGACUCUUGUAGAAGAGCUGGGGAUAGGACUGAGCGCUGAGCUGGACAGGGCAAGGUCAGCACUUGCAGACCUACUGUUGUGCUAGAACCUCUUCUGGUACUAAAAUCUGUAUUAGUCAGGGUUCUGCAAAGGGACAGCACUUAUAGAAUGAAAGAGAGGGGCUCUAAUCUUUACUUCCUCCUUCUGUAAUGUAAAUUAUAUUACAUCAUUUUGAGUUGAGUUUGUCCUUUUUUGGUAGUUUCUGGAGGUGUAGAAUUUGGUUGCCACUUGAGGUAGUUACACAGGGGGAAUCUACUGUUAUAACCUUUGACAUUGCUUUUUCACCCAGUGAACUGUAACGUCCUGUUAUCAUCCCAUUGUCUUGCAACAUUUUCUAACUUACUUUUGAAUUUAUCCUUUGAACCGAUAGUUAUUUAUAUUUGCUUUAUUUAAUUUCCAUGAAUUGCUCAAAUAAACUCUGCCCACUACCCCAAGUUCUUAACCCUGGAUGACUUCUUCAAAGCCUCUACUGUUGGUUUUUAAGCAAUAUUAAUCCAUGACCCUGAGGGCCAGACUCUGUCACACAGACACCCUUAUGAGUCCUAAACCAUCCACGGAGUCUCUGAAGACAAACACUGUCUGCGUUGAUCUUAUGAGUAUCAAUAAAGACACUGUGGCCACCAAGAUGUGCUGAGAUUCUGGUUAAAUAUGAGUCGGUAACAAAGGGAAUCUUUUUAGCAUCUGAACUUAGUGAAAAUUGCUUAAAGUUUGCUCAGUCAGUGCUGGAUCGAAGGGAGAAUCUGGUUUUUACAGGCUGUACUGUCUGGUGUCAUUCCCCAUAUCUAGUCCAGGGGUGAUUUUUGGUUUUGUGUUUUAAACUCCUUUUCAGAGAAUGGUAGGUUAUGGGUUGAAGUGGAAACUUAAAGGUUGUUUGGAAAGUCUGUUGUGUAGGAUGUCAUACAGGCGAAGGCAGGUACAAGAUAGAAUGAGGCCUGCCAUUGGAUGAGAAGGAGGGAUGAGGGGAGAAAAGUUUUAGAGAGUUGAGGAGACUGGAGUGAGGCAGAGGAAACAGCGGAGAGAAUAUGGAGGCUGAUGUGAAGAUUCCUCUCUGCACAUUUACAGGUUAUGAAUAUUCUUAAUGGAUGGAUGUGGACAGGGCUUUGUAUAUUUUUGUAUAUUUGUAUAUUUAGGUGGGCAAUUAUAUCUUAUCAAUUGGAUCAGAGGUUAUUGUGUUGUGUGUUCUUACAUGUGGAGAUUUAAAUCAAGGACAGUUAUGUGGCAGCCAGUGACCCUAAGCUGCCAUGGACUUGGGAUGUACAUUUCUGGCCUGGUGGCAACCUGCCUUGGGAACUGGAUGGGAAGAGAGAUUGUUGCCAGGCUCAGAGAGUAGUCAUAGGCAGUGUGGUAUGGGAUGGAGCAGAGCGGGUGAGAAGCUUUGCUGACUGAGAUGAAGAUAUCUACCAGUUGUCUUGGGGCACUAUGGUGCCGGAUCUAGUACGGGGAAAAGAAAGCUUUUUUUAUAUUUUUACAGCAACACAGGUGGAUGGUGUUUUGCUAGGGCAAACAUGUGAAGGAAUGUUUGACUGAAGCAGACACAGGACAGAUGAUAUUCUGCUAAAGCAAGCACAAGGAAGGACACACUACAAAGGAUUCUUUUCUAACAACAUGCAUGUGUUUGUCCACCUUACAUGGCAUAGUUGAGGUGCAGUUGUCAGGACUCCAUAGAGAGAAAUGCACCAAAAAGCUUCUGGUAGAAUAGUGGUGUGCUCAGUUUCUUGGCGGACUCGGGCUGAUUGGAUGCACAUGCUGAGGCACGACACAUGGUGGACACAUGAUGCUUGGAGGGUAUAAAUAGGACUCCACAGAGGGACAGACAGAGCCUAGCGUACUGGUACAGCUGUGCAAAGCUUGUGGGUCUCGAGGCUUUGUCAAUCUUCACUUCCCUGACAGACACAGCCAAGAACUUCUGGUGUUCCUGUUAGCCCCUGCUGACUGGAUUCUAGGCUGAAGCCUGGCUCUCUCCACUAGGUUGUAACCAUUGUUGCUAACUGGAUUCUACCAAACUGGACUACUGGUGUAUCUGUGAAGUGUUUGCCCGUGGAUUGAGCUGCUGCUGCUGACACAUGUACUAAACUGCCAAUUUCUGGCAACACAGAUUGGAGUUGCUCCAAAGAACUUUCUAAACAGGUCUACUUCCCUUAUAUCCUUUCCUUUUUACUGCCUCUGGUGGGUGGUGGGUUACAAGGAAGGUUAAAGCAUUGAAAAAUAGGAUUUGAAAAAAAUUAAAGUUACAGUGGAUUGUAUUGGCUUAAAUAUCCCCGGCUCCUGGGAAGUGACAUUAGGUUGUGUGGCCUUGUCAGAAUAGGUGUGGCCUUGUUGGCAGAAGUUCAUCACUGUGGGGUCGGGCUUUGAGUUCCUAUCCUCAAGCUCCCCCUUGGCUGCCCACAUUAGACAGUCUCUUCCUGGCUGCCUUUGGAUCAAGAUAUGGAACUCUCAACUCUGCCACGUCUGCCUGGAUGCUGCCUCCCUGUGUUUAUGCUGCUUAGAGGAAAGGGACCCUGGAUGAGAGGCCUGGCCUCUCCCCACCUCCACACAGGGAGCAACCCUGAAUGAGAAUGAGAGUUAAGCAACAGAAGAAACAAGUGCUCCUGCUCCCUGAGUGGGUCACGUGGAGGGUGUGUGUGUGUGCGUGUGUGCCUGUGUGCGUGUGCGUGUGCAUGCGUGUACAUGUGUGUGUGUUUCUUUGUUUAGGUGACCUGGCAAAGCCAAAAGAAUUUGGGUCCCCAACAGGAUUGGGCAUAGGUCUUAAGCCAGGGGCUUCUCAUACCAGAGGAAACUACUGGUCAUUACAGGUAAACAGAACUGACAGAGACACAUAGAAAGACACACAGACACACAGAUGGAUUAGGCCCUGAGUUCUGGCAGGCGGUGUUGUCUACACACUGCUUACAGCCUGAAUGGUACUUUCUAUCAUGGAGUGAGUUACAGGAUCUGGGGCCCUCUUACACUCCCACUACAGACAUAAGUGUUUGGAGAUAAAAUGAAGGCUAAUUCAGAAACUCUGGGUUCUCUUUUCAAAUACAUCUUAAACUUGUGGGCUCACAUCAACCACAUUCCUUCAUUGACCUACCCUCCUAUUUCUAAAGUAUAAAGGUCAUUUGGGCCAACACAGGCUGAUAAGAGUGUCUCCCUUCCAUUGAGAAGCACCUUGGAGUCCAGCUUAUCAAUCACACAUAUGCCAUAAUAUGCUCCGAGUGAACAGGUCCCUAGACUUAGUAGGCCCCAGGACCUGCUGUGUGAGUGCAGGGAAUCAAAGCCAGAUCCUGUGGGAGAGAAUCCAGUGCUCACUGGAACCAUCUCUACAGCCCCUACAUCCUAAGUCUUAAAGAGCUCUUCUUUAGGACUCUCUGAGCACAUGCUUUAGAACACUGAAGAACAGAAGUUUUGUUUGGAAGAAAACUGCUAUAUGACAGACACAAGUAGAGUGCACAUUUGUGGCCAAGCAGAGCCUCAUUCUAGCUCACUGAAGCAGUCACUUAAAUUCUGACAAUUAGAUAUAUUGGGGAGAAAUCUGGAGUUUUCCGAUGCUUGACCUGGAUUUGGUGCAACCUGUGCAUGCCUGGCCUUCCUUCUAUGUAGUUGCUGGUCCUUAUCCUUACACUUCAGUGUCUACUGAACCACCCUCAGCCCUGAUAUCUAGUUCUAUUAAUUUUUUUCAUUCACCUAAGAGAGAAUUUAUUUUUACUACACAAAAUGACUUGAAGCACUCAUGUCUACCAUUCAGGAUACCCUUCUAAAAAGAUGCAGGCUUGGGGUUGGAGAGAUGGCUCAGCGGUUAAGAGCACUGACUGCUCCUCCAGAGAUCCCGAAUUCAAUUCCCAGCAACCACAUGGUGGCUCACAACCACCUGUAAUGGAAUCUGUAAUGGAAUCUAAUGCUGUCUUCUGGUGUCUGAAGACAGCUACAAUGUACUCACGUACUUAAAAAAAAAAAAAAAGAUGCAGGCUUUCUGCCACUCUGUGUAUAGUGCCGGACUUCCACUUGGAGAGAAAUUACCAAUGCCAAUGGAUCUCGUAUUGCACUUUCUUCACUGAAGAGCAAUUAUUUGGAUAUGAAAGCACAAUAUUCCUAGGGUAAUCAAUAAUCCCCCAAUACAAGCAUGCACAUGUGAACACACAGACUUUGCCCAUAUUUAUGCUCAUUGUUCUCUGAAAUGAGGAUGUUGGGAAGAACCAGAAUGAAGUAUUUAAUCACCUAUAUUUGGGGCCUACUAUUGUGCUACACUGCCUUGUAGAUGAAAUACUGAGGGGGACGGAACAGGACUAGACAAGUUCUAAUGACUGGGCCAUGGUGUUGUGAGAUGGGAUUUAAUGAAUAUGCUGUGAGAAUAUAAAAGGUUACAGACAAUCGAAUAUUUUCUUUUCAGGGAUGGGGUGAGAUGGGCCUGUUUUUGUUUUGUUUUGUUUCACUUUGUUUUGACUGGAGAAACUGCUGUGGGUGCUGGGAACUGAGUGUUUCUUCCUCUGGUUGUGAGAUUAUCCUUUAAUGACCAAGCCAUCUCCAGCCCAAGAGUAUAUUUUGUAAGCUUGCUUCAGAGACAUCAUCUUAAACCAGUUCCGAGUUGGGAUUAUGAUGUGUGAGGGGGAUGUCAACUGAGAAAAUUCUCCUUCUACAAGGGUACGUGGGAAAGCCUGUGGUGCACUUUCUUGUUUGACGGUUGCCUUGAGAACACUGCCCAGCUCACUGUUGGAGAGGCCACCCUGGGCUGACAGUCCUAAUGUUCUAGAAAGCAAGAGGAGCAUGCUAUGAGAAGCAAGCCAGUAAGCAGUACUCCUCUAUGACCUGUUACCUCUAGGUUCCUGCCCUGUAUUCCAUGAAUGGUGAACUCUAAGCUACAAGAUGAAAUGAACCCUUUGCUUUUAGUCAUGGUGUCUUAUCAGCAAUAGAACCUAGCUAAUAGUUUGCAAUGGCAGACAGGUCUCUUGAAAACGGAAUCAUGAUGCUGUACAGAACCUUCAGGAAUGCUUCCCCACCAAACAUUCUUAAGCAGACUCUGUGAGAAGCUGAGUGAGCACAGGUAUCUGCUACUGGGUAAGAACAGGGUGUGGAGGCAUUUGUCGCAAUUCAGUUGAAAUCCUCGACUAAGAUACUUGUGAAUUAGCAUUCUGAAUAUGAAAUAAAAACUCAUCUGCAACAAGAAUCCAUCCUUAGUUUUUAAUAGCAAACAAGAGAAAUAAAGUAGUUACAGUUAUGAGUCACGUUAACAAAAUCUGUGUUCUACAAGAAAGUCUUCAUGAAUAUCAAAGUUUAAUGCCAUACUUCAAACUUGUUUUUCAUAAAUGAGUAUAGAAAUCUCAGGUCACUUUGUCAAAUAACACUGUGGAAUAGACUCGGCUAUAUUUUUAAACUGUGUUAAUUUGUACAUAGAAAAGUAUUUUAAUGUGAUAUAUAUUUGAAUAAGUCUCAUGUACAUGAUAAAAAUGUCAGACAUCCAUGCUGCACUCCUGUGUUCAGUGGUAGCCCCUAUUUUCUUCUAGGUUAAAAAACCAAGUUUAUUCAUAUACAAAUAUACUGGUAUAAAUGCAUAUCCAUGUACACAGAGGCAUAAAAAGACAGACACAGAUUCACAGUCUUUGUCCACAGUGAGAACAUACUAUAUACACUGUUCAACAAUCUGAUUUCUGUACUUAAACGAUAUAACAAGUAGCAUUCACUACAACACAUUGCCAGAUGUUCAGAACUUAGGGAAAAAUUAGGCACUACCUCCAAGUAGAGAGUUGUGAUUAAUGUCUGUAACACCAGGGAGAGUGAAUGCAGGCAUAUAUUUUAGAAGCUAUAAAGGUUAAAGAAAAAUCUGUGGCUCCGGGUAGAGAGCUUAACAGAUGGAUAUAUUUUGGAUUAAAUUCCUGAGUUUUAAGUUGUUUAUUGGUAUUAGAAUUGAUAGAAGCUGUUUGUUUUAAGGAGAGUAAAGAGAUUACCCGAAUCAUGUGGUGAUUUUUAUCUAUGGUUCAGAUCUUAGAUAGGGAAAAAUUAGUCACUACCUUCAAGUAGAGAGUUGUGAUUAAUGUCUAUAACACCAGGGAGAGUGAAUGCAGGCAUAUAUUAUAGAAGUUAUUAAGGUUAAAUAAAAAUCUGUGUCUCCGGGUAGAGAGCUUGACAGUGUUGGCGCCAGCACCGACACAGUACCGAGAAUCGGGCGAAAGCCUACAGGAUGAAAGAAACACACACACACACACACACACACACACACACACACACACACACACAGGUUAUCGUGUCAAGCCAGGAGAGGAAGAGAGGAAGAGAGAGAGGGAGGAAGAGAGAGAGAGAGAGAGAGACAGACAGACAGACAGACAGACAGACAGACAGAGACAGAGAGAGAGACAGAGACAGAGAGACAGAGGAAGAGUGGAAGAGCGGAAGGAAGAGUGAGAGUGAGGAAGAAGAGUGAGAGUUAGGAAGAAGAGUGAGAGUGAGAGUCUCCUGUAGCUUUAUUCACCACUUAUAUACCCAAGUCUCCAGGUAGAAAAUAUCUGGGAAGCACAGUGGGAAACCCUGACUCGUGUCUACCUGGCUCGUGACUUAGGUAACGAAAGACCGACUAGGAGACCUUAAUUAAUUAGGGAGAAAUCCCAGAAGACCAGCCUAAAUCUCAAGGAUAAAGGCUGAGGAAGUAAAAGGCAGAAGUAAAUUGACCACCACCCAGGUGUGGUCCAGGUGUGUCGGUUCCACAUGCAUCAGCUGGGCUCAGCAGAGGUCAUGCAGUGGAGACACCGGGUGUUUACUACUUGGUAUUUUCUUCCUGUGCCGUAAAUACAUGGGAGAGGCCUCUGUCCAACAAUCCCAUGACUUCUUAACUGUGGCCAUGCAGUUACAAAGCAGCCAGGCCCAAAUCCAAUAUGGCACUACAUGACAGAUUGAGACAUUUUGGGCUAAAGUCCUCGUAUGAUGUGUUGCUUAUUGAUACUGGAAUUGAUAAAAGGUAUUUGGUUUGUUUUAUGAAUUACCCCGCUAAAGUCCAUAUGGCUUGUUGAUGCCGGCUAGCAAGGGUUUGUGGUUACUUUUGAUAUCUACCACCACAGGAAGCUCAGAUUCUCUUAACGUGGGCUCCAUGGGAGUUUUGGGUUAAUUUCCUGAUAUCCCAGAGUACAAAAGCCUAUCAGGCUCAUUGUUUAGCUUACUUCCUCUUUAAAAAAUUGGUUAGUCUUCAUGAUGGGUGUGACUUUGAGUUUCAUGGUUAUAUUAUUACUCUGGGAGACAGUGCAGGAUACAAGCUUUUCUGGUUUCAGACUAAGGAACACAGUAUUUUGGGAGAAACAUUUUGUCUUUGUGUUCUUUUAAAAGUGUGAUUAGGCUCUGGAAACCUCACAGAGUCAUACUGAUCAGAUUUGAUAGAGGUAGACUGCCUGAAAAAUUUAUUCAGGAGAAUCAAACAAAAAGAUAUUGUAGAACUAGAGUUUCAUAAAGGUUGCUCAUUGUCAGAGUCCGGAUGUGCAGGGCCGGACAUGCCUGAGGGAGAGCCAGAGAUAGGACUUGCCAAACCAGCUAUCAGCCCCAAGGACACUGACCAUCCUUCCUUCCCCAAGGACACCCUCCCCUUCCUUCACCCCCCUGAGUGAGAUGAGCUACCCUACCUGCCUGCCGAGCUGCUAGAUAACACGUACUCCUUGCUGAUGUAAUUUUGCGCCAAAAGUAACUGUGCACCAUUUGAAUUGACCAAUCAUGUGCACCCUCGCGAAUGCCCCUAACCUCCCCUAUAUAAACCCCCGAGUUUGGAAGCUCAGGGUCGAUUCCUCUGUCUCCUGUGUGAGAUACGUGUCGACCCAGGAUCCCGCUAAGACCCAGGAUCUCGUUAAUAAAGCUACCUCUUGCUGUUACAUCAAGAAUGGCUCCUCGUGAUUCCUGGGGGCACCCCACCCUGCGAUAGGAGCGAGAGACGUGGCUCCCCGUUUUGGGGGUACGCUCUUUCAUUUGGGGGCUCGUCCGGGAUCGGAGUGUGACCCCCCGGAACCCCAAAUGCCACUUGGAGGUACGUAAGUGUGAGUGCCGGAAAGCGGCCGCUGUGUGUGAGUGUGUAUGAAUUAAGUCCUGUAGUCUGUGUUUUUCGGUACCGGUUUAGUGUCUUGGUGCACUGUCUGGGCAGAAGAAGGAUUCCUGCCCUGUGCACGGGUGGAAGAAGGUUCCCCACCCCGUAGAAAGCUAGCUUGAGAGUGUACUGUCUGGGCAGAAGGAGGAUUCCUGCCCUGUGCACGGGUGGAAGAAGGUUCCCCACCCCGAAAUGGCGCCUGUGAGUAGAUGAAGGAUUCCUACUCCGAAUAGUCUUUUUCUUUCUUUUUUUCCUUUUUAGAAAGCGCACCAGGGGACGCCCCAAUCGCGCAGGCUCUGGGACUCGUGAGAGACGUUCCACGAGCCAGUCUUUGUUGGGUCCUGGCUCUGGGACGCGUGAGAGACGUUCCACGAGCCGAAUUUUGUCAGGAGGACCCGGCAACGGACAGUCAAAAAGAUCUGACUGUGACUUUGGAGGUCAUGUUCGGCUGCCUAUUUAAGUAUAGGCACGGACAAGUGUGCUUAGAUGUGUUAGUGUUUGUUGUCUGUAUUCUGUUUCUGUGUUUGGUAUCCCAGAAGCAGCUAAGGUUAAGCUGCAGUUUGGGCCAGGUACUGAAGGUACCAGGCAUCUGUGAAAUUGGUUAUAGGAUGCUUUGUUUUAGUCUUGCUUGUCUGGUUUGUUUUCUGUGGUAUUGCCGAGUGUCUUUUUUUGGCUUUUGUUUCGUGUUUGAAUUUGGACUGACGACCGUGUUUAAAAUCUUGGACUGACGACUGUGUUUGAAAUCAUGAAACUGUUUGCUUUGUUCGUUGAAGAGUUUUACUUGGUCCCCUUAAUGCUUAGUGAGUAAGGAACUUAAUUUUGUGGACCCCGCUCUAGUGGCGGUGUGUUGGUUGAUAGCCAAAGUUAGUUUUUAAAACAGUGUUUUAUCUGUGCUUGUGCUCGCAGCCAGCUGAAAUAAGCUAGAGAAGUGAGUAAAUAUUGCUUGGGAGCAAAGAAUCUUAAAGGUAGAGUUUCAGCCGGUAUGACACUUAGUGCAUAACUGCCUAAAAGAUCAGAAAUGCUGUUAACAGGCUAAAAAAAAAAGGGGGACAGGCUGUGUUAGAAAUGCUACAGGAAGAAUAAUCUAAAAAGGCUAAGAGCUAGGUGGGGCUAUAAGGAAAACAAGAACAGGAAAGGAAUUUCUGACAUUUGCUCACAGUAGGAGAGCACUCAUUUAGAGAAGUUCUUUAAGGAAGCCUGCCUUAUCUGCUGUCUUUAUUCCAAGGGAGGAGUCAGUCUCCAGCACUAAAUUACUUGGAGGUGGCCAAGGUCAGGAUUAAUGUUUUCUUUUCCUUGGGCCCUUUAAACCCAGUGAGACAGUUUGGUAAAGGGCUACUACUGAGGUCCUGAUAGCCCCAGGUGAACUGAUUACGAUUCUUCUGUCAGCCACCUGGCAUCUAGCAACCAGGUUCUAACCAUCUCUCCAUCCUUUUGUUAUUAGUUGUUACUAAAAGCCUAGUGUCAUUUGAAGGCUGGUUCUCUUGAGAGGCAAAGCCACAGAGCUGACACUGAAGAGAGAUAAAUGCUGUUUGCCCUCUUCACAAGAUUCUCUUGUUUUCUCACCAUCCCAUUUGAGAUGCUUGUUAGUAACUGUUACAGGUCUUCUUUACCACUGAUGAAAGACGGAAUCCUACUGGAGACCAGAAAAAAAUGUUCCAGACACGGAUAGAAGGCCCUCACUUCUGCCUGCUCUCUUCAGACGCCUGAAGGUAGGGAGUGCCAGGUCUGCCGCCAGGCUCCAAGGGUGGGUCUCUGAGGGGCUGGAAAGUGCCCCACCAAUCUAGCUAAGAUAAGGAAAAGAUAUGAAGAGAAAGUUAAAGAAACUUGAAGGGUUAAGCUAAGUCACUGAGAGAGUUAUUGUAAGUUGCAGAGAAAAUAAGUUGAUGCGUGGUUCAGGGUCUGUGCAGAAAAGUGGACAGCACCUAAUAGCUGUAGAAGAAGAUGCAGAGAGACUGAAAAAAAAGAAAGAAAGAAAGAAGGUAAAAAGAGCAGGAAGCUAGGGAAGAAAAGAGACUAAAAGAAGAGGAAGCUAGAGAGCUAAAGAGAGAUAAAAGACAAGAGAGGAACAUAUACUGGCCACAGUAGUUAGGGAACCAAGGAAGACAGUACCUGGCAACAGAAGAGAAUUCCUGGCUAAAGAUCAGUGUGCCUAAUGCAAAGAAAAAAAAGACACUGGGUCAGGGACUGCCCCAGAAAGAACAAGAGGGGACACUGGAGAGCCUCUUGGUCCUAGAGUGCUGGCUAUGUACAGAGAUAGAAGGGAAGUGUGGAUACAGGGACCCAAUGCUCUGUGCUCCUAUGCCCCCCAGUGGGCCAAUAUCCAAAGACCUUGAGUGCAAGGGGCUACUGGCAACGAACAAUACUUAUGGACUGCCCGAAGAACAGUGGACCUUGGCGUGGGCCCGGUAACCCACCCACUAGUUCAUAGUCAUCCCUGACUGCCCCUAUCCCUUGUUCAUGAGAAAAUUGCUCUCCAAAAUGGCUUGCGUGGGCUGAAAUGGCUGGGUGAGGCCAUGUGUAUGCAUAUCUACAGACUGUGUAUGUGGAGCUUAAGACCUGUCUCAGUGCACCAGUACCUGAUGCUGGGAGAUGUGUGACUUAGUCCUGAUCUGCCUGGAACACAUCACUCCUGCCAGCCGGGCACUAACAAUUAUCACCCAAUCCAGGACUUAAACUGUGAUAGAGUGGCUGAUGUUCUGCCUUUGAAUAGAGUGUCCCAAAAGAUGGGACCACUGGUCAGCUGCCAUGGACUAGAUUCUCCACCGGUUGGGAACAAUCUGGUCACCUUGCUGCCCAAUCCGGACCUGGAGCCACCACAGCACGAGUGUCAAGUACUGGCAGAAGCCCAUGGGUGGAGGAAAGACCUCUGCGACUGGCUGAUUGACCCCUGCUGAAAGCCGAGGACCUUGUCCACAGACGGGAACAGUUCUCUUCAUGAAUGAAGGUCAGAGACAAGUGGGUGCUGCCAUGGUGGACAACACAAUGUCAUCUGGGAUGGCUGAACCUCUACCCCCCCAGCACAUUAGCACUUCAGAUGCUUUUGCCAUCUCUUGGAUGCCCUGGUGAAGCCAACCACUGUGAGUACUAUUCAUUGCUCAGGAUAUCAGGAGGGAAGAGAUUCAGUGGGAUGGGGCAAUAACGAAGCAGAUCAAGUGGCUCAAAAAAUGGCUAUGCAGUGAAAGACCCCAGCUUAACAGCAGUAACGCCAUUUUGCAAGGCUGUACUUAAGAUGACUGGUUCAGGGAAAGGUUAGAACACUGAGUACACAGCGGCUGCCAAACAGGAUGUGUUUGGUUGAAGGCCUGGCAACAGGACGACUUCGGUUGAGCACCUGACAAUGAAAAAAAAGCCCCAGGAGAGGUCCCACACCCUGGUGGGGGGCCGAGUCAGUCGUUAUGUUCCAAGAAGGUAGCUAAGAAACUUGCCCCCGGGCUGAACCCUUGGGGGGCCAAGUCAGUCCUUAUGUUUCAGGAAGGUAGCUAGGAAACUCGCCCCCGGGCUAAACCCUUGCCACAUUAGAAUCCACCAAUUAUAUCCCUGUAACCAUGCAUCUGCUUCUGUAUGCUUGCUUCUGCUCCCCAAAAUCCCAUAAAAAGCCCAUCCUUGGUUCCGUGGGGCGCGCCAGUCCCCCGAGUGACUGAAGCGCCCGCAGGUGCCUGUGCCUGUGUAUCCCGACAAUAAACCAAAUCCUCUUGCUGAUUGCA